GUGCGAGCGGGCGCUUCCACCGGGCACAGGAGAGGGGGAAGGAAAAAAGUAGAAGGGGAUACGGUUCCUCUUCACGCCGUCGAGACACGUGCAGAAAGAAGCUGGGCACAAACCCAGAAUCGAUUUCCUCACUUCUCUUUAACCCGGCUGGCUUUCACCACCGCGGCCGCCUUGCUCGCUGCCUCUUCCUAGCGAACCCUCCGUUCCGAAGGGCGCGGGGGACGUGGUCCCUGGCGUCUGCCUGCCGUGUAUUCCGAAUAAUAACCAGAGCAUUUUGGUGGGCAUCAUAACUGCCCACCAAUUAGCUUGUGACUCCGAGGAAACGCAGAACUCUUUCUAGCAACAUAACCAGGGGAAAGAAACGAAGGGAAGAGGCACGAAACCGGAUGACAGCCUGUCACAAGCUUUGGGGUAAAUCUGAACUGCAAACAUCCCUGAAACUGAACCUCAGCUUGCCAGCCAACCACAUCCUGAUGGCCAGACCCUGAGACCGCAGCCCACAAGCGCUGUCGGGAGGCAGAAAUGCAGCCAGCUCGGCAGCCAGCCUUGGUCUUAGCGUGGCAAAAGCAUCCUUAAAGAAAGGCAAAACGACAGCUGUGGAGAAAUUAAGGAAAAGUCCUUUUUGGAAACUUCCAACUGGUGUCACAGGCACAAAGACAGGCAGGCACCUUGAUCUGCUGCACAGAUGUCAAGGAAUGUUAGAAAACCCAGCACUGAACUUGUCUGCUUUAUUUGCACUUUAAAGCAUGGAAGGGAAAGUUAUGAAUAAUUUCUCCUGCUCUAGGACCAGGUAGAAAGCUCUUGAAAGCAAUCCUGGCUUAGGUGAGCUGGAUGGUGACUGCAGCACUAAGUAACUGAAAGGCUAUACCUAUCUUAAGGGUACGUGGGAAGGGCUGGGUACAGAGGACCCGUGGCAAACGAUUAAGAGCACUGCUGCUGCAGUAAUAGAGCUCCUUGAGGGAUGGACAGCUGCAGAGGAGCACAGGGCUUUGAUUCAAAUAACUGGCUGUAGAUAAAUUAAUUUUACAUCCCCGUCCACAAACUGCGGUUAAUCCGCGAUGACCAGAUACGAUUCCUUUUUCUAAUUCUUAAAUUAGAUUUCCUGAGCCAGUGCAAUGUGUCAGCUCAAAGUGAAAUGCCCCUCCUGAAGCAUACCCCCCUCCCAGUGAAAUCUAGGUUGGUACUGUGGGUGCAAAUGCUGGCAAGUGGAGCAGGGCUGCAGAGCAGUGCCACGAGGGUCAGCUGAUGGGUGCAGGUGGAGAUAUAGAUGCCACUUUGCAGCCCCGUGGUCCUGAGAAACAGGGCUGCCAUCCCUACCACUGUCCCCAAACUUGGAUUAGUAGCUCUGGUGGGGGGAGGAAGGAGAGAGGCUUGGGCUGAAAUUCAUUUCCCCCCUUCCUGCACCUCAUUAUAAGUUCCACCCACAUAAGACCUAAUUACUUGGCUUUUAUGCUGGCAAAGUGGAUUUCAUCCUUGCUGUUUCCCAUGGUGGUUGCCUUCAUUUUCAUGGCGGCACUGAUGGUUACAGCUUAUUGAUGUUUUCACUUUAGUGAUUUAAAGCAGAAUACAUUUUGUUAUUAGCACUGGUUUCUCUCAUUGCUGCUUUAAUCAAAGAUGCAAUUUAAGGCAAAAGGAUUGUGUCUAAUGGUAAACAGUAGGAUAAUGCCUUGAGAGAACAGAAUAUUAAUGUGUUUUUAUUUUUCAAAACUGUGCUUAUAAUAUAACCAGGAUUAUUUGGAUUCCAACAUGCACGCAUGGGGUGCUCCCUUCGCUACCGCACCUCCUGUCUUGCAGUAGAGGGCGGUGAGGGAGACGCAUGUACUACCUUAGACGCUGUAAAAUCCCCACUGCUUGUGUCUCUCUCCUCCACGGGCACAAACCCUAAGCAUCCAAGCCCUUGCAGAACAGAAACAAAACUAGGCACAUACUGAGUGCCCAGGGAUGCUUGAGAUUUGGCUGAGCACAAGAUCACCCCAAGUCAGGAAAAGCUGCAUUCAUAAUGGGGAUAAUGGCAGUGCUUCAGCAAGGGGCACAGUGCUUGUGGAAGGGACCUGAUGCCCCGUGCUAAGGCUGAAAGGCACGAAGCAAGCACAGCAUCUCCUGCCUCCCUGAUGUCCCUGAAUGGAUGGCAAUGCAUUCACUUGCUUUUCAUUUCCUUGGAUCUGACAAUUUACGUUUCAAGGCAAGAUUAAAUAUUGAAGUUUUGAGCACUUCCAUGUGCUUCAGGAGGAGCUGAAAGGACCUGUGCUGGAACAGGCUGAACACGGAAAAGCCAUUUGUGCCAAACUGCUUGGUUUCCUCUUUGCCGAGCCAUGAUAAUGUGAUAUCCGACAGCUGAAUGUAGGCCACAACGGGCUUUUAUAGGUGGAGGGGUGGAGAGGGGCUGAAAUCCACAGUCAAACACAUCAAAAUUAUGAGAGAUAUUUGGGACAGGCUGGGGACUCCUGGCCACCCCCAAGAUCCUAGUGUUAGCUCCACCCCUAUCACAAGUCUAGAUGCUGCUGGAGAGGAAUUUGUAGAAGGUAGAUCUAUAUUCACUUUGGAAGGGAUGACUCCCUGGCCUGCAGUAAAUGCUACACAAAAUUUCUAGCCUUGUGCUGCACCAGGCUUUGCAGAAUAUCUCCCAUCAUUGGUGGCCACCUUCCCACGAGGGCUGCCACCUCUUGCAAGUAACAGCACCAGUCACAGCGGUUUAGUUUAGUUAAUGGAUUAUUCUUGCCUGUUUCUCACCUCCUGGUGAUGAGAAGACAAGGGAAAGCAGGAGGGUUGGUCUGCUUCUGCUCAGGUACUGCUGCUGGUGUCUCAGCACAGCUCGUUGUGCUGCAAGCUAAACCUAGGGCUUGCUGGAAGGAGAAGUGGUGGUAGAAAAGGCAGAGAUUCCUACCUGAACCAUUGCAGUGCUGGCAGCGUGAGGAUGGUGCAAGCACCACCUUCCCCUUGAAUUGUAUUAUCUGAGCCCUCAAAAUACCACAGAAACCGAAGCAUUUGUCACCCCAGUGGAUGUGAAGCAGCGGCAGUUUUGUCCCCUGCGUCCUCCUGCAUUUUCACAUGAGAUGUAAUGGUUUUUUUUUAACAAGGACUGUGCUUCCUCCUCUCUGCUUUAGAGUAACUUUAUGUCCUGAUAGGCUGCAAAACAGUUGCCCUGCUCUACCCUAGAUGCGGCCACAUUUCUGUGGUGAGGAAAAACUCUGGCGAGUGUGCUGAAGUUGGGUGCUUUGGUUUGAAAAUGAUACAUUGCCUUCAAAACCUGCAUUAAAGAAUAAUGUGCAGUCUGCAGAAGAAUUCAAACGAAACACUUCAAUGUUGGGAAGUGUUUCAUUUACAGCUGCCAGAGCUGCUCAUGCCUUCUUCCCUCCCAUGUCCACCCAAUGAGGAAGGAGGCUGAAGUAAGGGCUCACGUAUGUAAAGGUCUA